UGGCGCCUACGGGAGGCAGCAGUAGGGAAUCUUCCACAAUGGGCGAAAGCCUGAUGGAGCAACGCCGCGUGGGUGAAGAAGGUCUUCGGAUCGUAAAACCCUGUUGUUAGAGAAGAAAGUGCGUGAGAGUAACUGUUCACGUUUCGACGGUAUCUAACCAGAAAGCCACGGCUAACUACGUGCCAGCAGCCGCGGUAAUACGUAGGUGGCAAGCGUUAUCCGGAUUUAUUGGGCGUAAAGAGAACGCAGGCGGUCUUUUAAGUAAGAUGUGAAAGCCUCCGGCUUAACCGGAGUA
rnacentral:rRNA from 1 species